rnacentral:rRNA from 1 species
GGGUUGUGAGGUUAAGCGACUAAGCGUACACGGUGGAUGCCCUGGCAGUCAGAGGCGAUGAAGGACGUGCUAAUCUGCGAAAAGCGCCGGCGAGGUGAUAUGAACCUUUGACCCGGCGAUGUCCGAAUGGGGAAACCCAGUGCAAUCCGUUGCACUAUCGUUAACUGAAUACAUAGGUUAACGAGGCGAACCGGGGGAACUGAAACAUCUAAGUACCCCGAGGAAAAGAAAUCAACCGAGAUUCCCCCAGUAGCGGCGAGCGAACGGGGAGCAGCCCGGAGUCUGAAUCAGCUUGUGUGUUAGUGGAACGGUCUGGAAAGUCCGACGGUACAGGGUGAUAGUCCCGUACACGAAAGCACACUUGCUGUGAACUCGAAGAGUAGGGCGGGACACGUGGUAUCCUGUCUGAAUAUGGGGGGACCAUCCUCCAAGGCUAAAU